UGUACAUUAUAUUUUAGGUAAAACAUUUUAAAAAGUCAGAUUGCACAGAUCAUAGUAAUAUUAUAUAUGACUGAUUAGCAUUUACAUCCUAUAUACACCAAACACUGAGAUUUAAAGUCAGAUUUUCCUUUGUCUAGUAUGUGCACAGUGCAUCUGCUUUUGACACUUGAGUGAUUCAUUAGUUUAUAUGCUUGAAAAUAUCAUUCCAUUUUUAUUAUUUAUAAAAGUUCUAAAGCGCUAACAAAUUUCACAUCGCUGUACAAUGGGUGGACUAACAGACUUAAAGGACCACUCUAGGCACCCAGACCACUUCAGCUUAAUGAAGUGGUCUGGGUGCCAGGUCCAGCUAGGGUUAACCCAUUUUUUCAUAAACAUAGCAGUUUCAGAGAAACUGCUAUGAUUAUGAAUGGGUUAAGCCUUCCCCUAUUUCCUCUAGCGGCUGUCUCAUUGACAGCCGCUAGAGGCGCUUGCGUGCUUCUCACUGUGAUUUUCACAGUGAGAGCACGCCAGCGUCCA